ensembl:snRNA U6 U6 spliceosomal RNA
AUCACGACCAUGUGAUACAUAUACUAAAAUUGGAACAAUACAGAGAAGAUUAGCAUGGCCCUUGCUCAAGGAUGACACAGAAAUUUGUAGUGUUCCAUAUUAAA